AAUUCGAUCUUGCUGUGUGUGCAAUAUAACGAAAUCCGAAAACAAAUCAUCAUCAUCUUCUUGUUUGAUGUGAACUUCCUCCUCUCUAUGCUCGCUUUCUAAAAGAUAAUAUCUUUUCAUUAAUAGCUUGCAUUCUUCUAUUAUCUCUUCCUUUUCGGCCUGGGUGCACUGC